UGCGUAGGCGGAACUUUAAGUCAGUGGUGAAAUCCUGCGGCUCAACCGUAGAACUGCCAUUGAUACUGAAGUUCUUGAAUGCAGUUGAGAUAGGCGGAAUGUGUAAUGUAGCGGUGAAAUGCUUAGAUAUUACACAGAACACCGAUUGCGAAGGCAGCUUGCUAAACUGUGAUUGACGCUGAUGCACGAAAGCGUGGGGAGCGAACAGGAUUAGAUACCCUGGUAGUCC
rnacentral:rRNA from 1 species